CCUACGGGUGGCUGCAGUGGGGAAUUUUGGACAAUGGGCGAAAGCCUGAUCCAGCAAUGCCGCGUGAGUGAAGAAGGCCUUCGGGUUGUAAAGCUCUUUUGUUUGGGAAGAAAUCCCUAAGGAUAAUACCCUUGGGGGAUGACGGUACCAAAAGAAUAAGCACCGGCUAACUACGUGCCAGCAGCCGCGGUAAUACGUAGGGUGCAAGCGUGAGUCGGAAUUACGCAGGGGAAAGCGUGCGCAGGCGGUGAAAUCCCCGAGCUCAACUUGGGAACUGCACUUGUGACUGCAAGACUAGAGUGUGUCAGAGGUAGGUAGAAUUCCACGUGUAGCAGUGAAAUGCGUAGAUAUGUGGAGGAAUACCAGUGGCGAAGGCGGCCUCCUGGGAUAACACUGACGCUCAUGUACGAAAGCGUGGGGAGCAAACAGGAUUAGAUACCCCAGUAGUC
rnacentral:rRNA from 1 species